rnacentral:rRNA from 1 species
GAGUGAGUGGCGAACUGGUGAGUAACACGUGGGAAACCUGCCCAGAAGCGGGGGAUAACACCUGGAAACAGAUGCUAAUACCGCAUAACAACUUGGACCGCAUGGUCCGAGUUUGAAAGAUGGCUUCGGCUAUCACUUUUGGAUGGUCCCGCGGCGUAUUAGCUAGAUGGUGGGGUAACGGCUCACCAUGGCAAUGAUACGUAGCCGACCUGAGAGGGUAAUCGGCCACAUUGGGACUGAGACACGGCCCAAACUCCUACGGGAGGCAGCAGUAGGGAAUCUUCCACAAUGGACGAAAGUCUGAUGGAGCAACGCCGCGUGAGUGAAGAAGGGUUUCGGCUCGUAAAACUCUGUUGUUAAAGAAGAACAUAUCUGAGAGUAACUGUUCAGGUAUUGACGGUAUUUAACCAGAAAGCCACGGCUAACUACGUGCCAGCAGCCGCGGUAAUACGUAGGUGGCAAGCGUUGUCCGGAUUUAUUGGGCGUAAAGCGAGCGCAGGCGGUUUUUUAAGUCUGAUGUGAAAGCCUUCGGCUCAACCGAAGAAGUGCAUCGGAAACUGGGAAACUUGAGUGCAGAAGAGGACAGUGGAACUCCAUGUGUAGCGGUGAAAUGCGUAGAUAUAUGGAAGAACACCAGUGGCGAAGGCGGCUGUCUGGUCUGUAACUGACGCUGAGGCUCGAAAGUAUGGGUAGCAAACAGGAUUAGAUACCCUGGUAGUCCAUACCGUAAACGAUGAAUGCUAAGUGUUGGAGGGUUUCCGCCCUUCAGUGCUGCAGCUAACGCAUUAAGCAUUCCGCCUGGGGAGUACGGCCGCAAGGCUGAAACUCAAAGGAAUUGACGGGGGCCCGCACAAGCGGUGGAGCAUGUGGUUUAAUUCGAAGCUACGCGAAGAACCUUACCAGGUCUUGACAUACUAUGCAAAUCUAAGAGAUUAGACGUUCCCUUCGGGGACAUGGAUACAGGUGGUGCAUGGUUGUCGUCAGCUCGUGUCGUGAGAUGUUGGGUUAAGUCCCGCAACGAGCGCAACCCUUAUUAUCAGUUGCCAGCAUUAAGUUGGGCACUCUGGUGAGACUGCCGGUGACAAACCGGAGGAAGGUGGGGAUGACGUCAAAUCAUCAUGCCCCUUAUGACCUGGGCUACACACGUGCUACAAUGGAUGGUACAACGAGUUGCGAACUCGCGAGAGUAAGCUAAUCUCUUAAAGCCAUUCUCAGUUCGGAUUGUAGGCUGCAACUCGCCUACAUGAAGUCGGAAUCGCUAGUAAUCGCGGAUCAGCAUGCCGCGGUGAAUACGUUCCCGGGCCUUGUACACACCGCCCGUCACACCAUGAGAGUUUGUAACACCCAAAGUCGGUGGGGUAACCUUUUAGGAACCAGCCGCCUAAGGUGGGACAGAUGAUUAGGGUGAAGUCGUAA